rnacentral:tRNA from 1 species
UAAUUCAUGUCAGCCAUCCCACUA